rnacentral:rRNA from 1 species
CUACGGGUUGCACCAGUGGGGAAUAUUGCACAAUGGGGGAAACCCUGAUGCAGCAACGCCGCGUGGAGGAUGACGCAUUUCGGUGUGUAAACUCCUUUUAUAUAGGAAGAUAAUGACGGUACUAUAUGAAUAAGCACCGGCUAACUCCGUGCCAGCAGCCGCGGUAAUACGGAGGGUGCAAGCGUUACUCGGAAUCACUGGGCGUAAAGCGCGCGCAGGCGGCCUUUUAAGUUGGAUGUGAAAGCCUACGGCUCAACCGUAGAACUGCAUCCAAAACUACUAGGCUAGAGUCUGGGAGGGGAAGAUGGAAUUAGUUGUGUAGGGGUAAAAUCCGUAGAGAUAACUAGGAAUACCAAAAGCGAAGGCAAUCUUCUGGAACAGUACUGACGCUGAGGCGCGAAAGCGUGGGGAGCAAACAGGAUUAGAUACCCCUGUAGUC